rnacentral:piRNA from 1 species
UCAUAUACCCUAUCACGCUCUGAAGCAU